ensembl:rRNA 5S_rRNA 5S ribosomal RNA
GUCUACGGCCAUACCACCCUGAACAUGCCUGACCUCGUCUGAACUUGGAAGCUAAGCAGGGUUGGGCCUGGUUAGUAUUUGGAUGGGAGAAUUCAUAAUUCAGUAAGAUAACAUUAAAUU